rnacentral:rRNA from 1 species
GGGCCCGCACAAGCGGUGGAGCAUGUGGUUUAAUUCGAUGCAACGCGAAGAACCUUACCUACUCUUGACAUCCAGAGAAGCCAGCGGAGACGCAGGUGUGCCUUCGGGAGCUCUGAGACAGGUGCUGCAUGGCUGUCGUCAGCUCGUGUUGUGAAAUGUUGGGUUAAGUCCCGCAACGAGCGCAACCCUUAUCCUUGUUUGCCAGCGAGUAAUGUCGGGAACUCCAGGGAGACUGCCGGUGAUAAACCGGAGGAAGGUGGGGACGACGUCAAGUCAUCAUGGCCCUUACGAGUAGGGCUACACACGUGCUACAAUGGCGCAUACAGAGGGCAGCCAACUUGCGAAAGUGAGCGAAUCCCAAAAAGUGCGUCGUAGUCCGGAUUGGAGUCUGCAACUCGACUCCAUGAAGUCGGAAUCGCUAG